GAUGAACGCUGGCGGCGUGCCUAAUACAUGCAAGUCGAGCGAACAGACGAGGAGCUUGCUCCUCUGACGUUAGCGGCGGACGGGUGAGUAACACGUGGAUAACCUACCUAUAAGACUGGGAUAACUUCGGGAAACCGGAGCUAAUACCGGAUAAUAUAUUGAACCGCAUGGUUCAAUAGUGAAAGACGGUUUUGCUGUCACUUAUAGAUGGAUCCGCGCCGCAUUAGCUAGUUGGUAAGGUAACGGCUUACCAAGGCAACGAUGCGUAGCCGACCUGAGAGGGUGAUCGGCCACACGGGAACGGAGACACGGUCCAGACUCCUACGGGAGGCAGCAGUAGGGAUUCUUCCGCAAUGGGCGAAAGCCUGACGGAGCAACGCCGCGUGAGUGAUGAAGGUCUUCGGAUCGUAAACCUCUGUUAUUAGGGAAGAACAAAUGUGGAAGUAACUAUGCACGUCUUGACGGUACCUAAUCAGAAAGCCACGGCUAACUACGUG
rnacentral:rRNA from 1 species